rnacentral:rRNA from 1 species
UACGUAGGGUGCGAGCGUUGUCCGGAAUUAUUGGGCGUAAAGGGCUCGUAGGCGGUCUGUCACGUCGGGAGUGAAAACUCAGGGCUUAACCCUGAGCCUGCUUCCGAUACGGGCAGACUAGAGGUAUGCAGGGGAGAACGGAAUUCCUGGUGUAGCGGUGAAAUGCGCAGAUAUCAGGAGGAACACCGGUGGCGAAGGCGGAUCUCUGGGCCAUUACUGACGCUGAGGAGCGAAAGCGUGGGGAGCGAACAGG